rnacentral:rRNA from 1 species
GAUGAACGCUGGCGGCGUGCCUAAUACAUGCAAGUCGAGCGAACAGACGAGGAGCUUGCUCCUUUGACGUUAGCGGCGGACGGGUGAGUAACACGUGGGUAACCUACCUAUAAGACUGGGAUAACUUCGGGAAACCGGAGCUAAUACCGGAUAAUAUUUCGAACCGCAUGGUUCGAUAGUGAAAGAUGGCUUUGCUAUCACUUAUAGAUGGACCUGCGCCGUAUUAGCUAGUUGGUAAGGUAACGGCUUACCAAGGCAACGAUACGUAGCCGACCUGAGAGGGUGAUCGGCCACACUGGAGCUGAGACACGGUCCAGACUCCUACGGGAGGCAGCAGUAGGGAAUCUUCCGCAAUGGGCGAAAGCCUGACGGAGCAACGCCGCGUGAGUGAUGAAGGUCUUCGGAUCGUAAAACUCUGUUAUUAGGGAAGAACAAACGUGUAAGUAACUGUGCACGUCUUGACGUUACCUAAUCAGAAAGCCACGGCUAACUACGU